rnacentral:rRNA from 1 species
GACGAACGCUGGCGGCGUGCUUAACACAUGCAAGUCGAACGGAAAGGCCCUGCUUUUGUGGGGUGCUCGAGUGGCGAACGGGUGAUUAACACGUGAGUAACCUGCCCUUGACUUUGGGAUAACUUCAGGAAACUGGGGCUAAUACCGGAUAGGCGCUCCUGCUGCAUGGUGGGGGUUGGAAAGUUUCGGCGGUUGGGGAUGGACUCGCGGCUUAUCAGCUUGUUGGUGGGGUAGUGGCUUACCAAGGCUUUGACGGGUAGCCGGCCUGAGAGGGUGACCGGCCACAUUGGGACUGAGAUACGGCCCAGACUCCUACGGGAGGCAGCAGUGGGGAAUAUUGCACAAUGGGCGGAAGCCUGAUGCAGCAACGCCGCGUGCGGGAUGACGGCCUUCGGGUUGUAAACCGCUUUCGCCUGUGACGAAGCGUGAGUGACGGUAAUGGGUAAAGAAGCACCGGCUAACUACGUG